AGCGCGGCUGAGCGGCCCCGCAGCCAAUCCCGGAGGAGCGGCCGGCUGGCGUCCGCCGCGCCCAGGAGUUGGGGAUGUCCUACAAACCCAUCGCUCCUGCCCCCAGCAGCACCCCUGGCUCCAGUACCCCUGGGCCGGGCACCCCGAUCCCUACAGGAAGCGUCCUGUCGCCGUCGGGCUCAGUGCCAGGAGCCGCCGCUCCUUUUAGACCGCUGUUUAACGACUUUGGACCGCCUUCCAUGGGCUACGUGCAGGCUACGUGCAGGCGAUGAAGCCACCCGGCGCCCAGGGCUCCCAGAGCACCUACACGGACCUGCUGUCAGUCAUAGAGGAGAUGGGCAAAGAGAUCCGGCCCACCUAUGCUGGCAGCAAGAGCGCCAUGGAGCGCCUGAAGAGAGGUAUCAUCCAUGCUCGGGCCCUAGUCAGAGAGUGCCUGGCAGAGACACAGCGGAACGCCCGCACGUAACAGGAAGCGCCUCGGCCUCAGCGUCUGGACCUUUCCCGGCCACUGCAGAGCACCCGCUUCUCCCUGGCCUUCAUCCCGAGUUGCAUUAACCAUCCUGGGCUUCCUGUCCUGUGUCCCUUGGUGGGUCCCCUCCAGGAACCAAGGAGCGGCUCUCACUCCAGGUGGCAGCACUAAGGACAUCCCCCCACAACUCAGUGAGUCCCCAUGAGUCCCACCCAUGACCUGCCAACAGUGUUGCCCCCCGGAACUUUCUGUGGUCCCCACCGCUCAGCCCUUCCCAGCCCUUCUCCCACUUUGUCCCGAGCCUCCUUCUCCCCCAGCAGGGGCUCAGGCCUGGCACCUCACUGCCUUGUGUCCUGAGCCGUAGUGACUCUUUU